UACAGAGGUCUCAAGCGUUGUUCGGAUUCAUUGGGCGUAAAGGGUGCGUAGGUGGCGAGGUAAGUUGGAUGUGAAAUCCCAGGGCUCAACCCUGGAACUGCAUUCAAUACUGCCUUGCUAGAGUACUGGAGAGGAGAUUGGAAUUUACGGUGUAGCAGUGAAAUGCGUAGAUAUCGUAAGGAAGACCGAGUGGCGAAGGCGGAUCUCUGGACAGUUACUGACACUGAGGCACGAAGGCCAGGGGAGCAA
rnacentral:rRNA from 1 species